GCACCACUCGUCUACGAGGUUUAGGAUAUGAGGUUUUCACCCUCAUGAACGGGGUUCGAGUCCCCGGUGGUGUA
rnacentral:tRNA from 1 species